UGCAUGUAUUGAGUGGCCUUACAUA
rnacentral:misc_RNA from 1 species